CCACAUCCGCAUCCUUUGCUGAGGAUACGGUUAACGGAGCGAAAGCGACGUUCAACCGCAAAACAAGCAGAGGGGGCUUAGUGGUGGGGUGACUGCGUACCUUUUGUAUAAUGGGUCAGCGACUUAUAUUCUGUAGCAAGGUUAACCGAAUAGGGGAGCCGGAGGGAAACCGAGUCUUAAUUGGGCGUUAAGUUGCAGGGUAUAGACCCGAAACCCGGUGAUCUAGCCAUGGGCAGGUUGAAGGUUGGGUAACACUAACUGGAGGACCGAACCGACUAAUGUUGAAAAAUUAGCGGAUGACCUGUGGCUGGGGGUGAAAGGCCAAUCAAACCGGGAGAUAGCUGGUUCUCCCCGAAAGCUAUUUAGGUAGCGCCUCGUGAAUUCAUCUCCGGGGGUAGAGCACUGUUUCGGCUAGGGGGCCAUCCCGGCUUACCAACCCGAUGCAAACUGCGAAUACCGGAGAAUGUUAUCACGGGAGACACACGGCGGGUGCUAACGUCCGUCGUGAAGAGGGAAACAACCCAGACCGCCAGCUAAGGUCCCAAAGUCAUGGUUAAGUGGGAAACGAUGUGGGAAGGCCCAGACAGCCAGGAUGUUGGCUUAGAAGCAGCCAUCAUUUAAAGAAAGCGUAAUAGCUCACUGGUCGAGUCGGCCUGCGCGGAAGAUGUAACGGGGCUAAACCAUGCACCGAAGCUGCGGCAGCGAACGUAUCACCCAAGACAACUUUACGGAGUUGACGAUUGACGGAGCGAAGCGACGUCAAAGCGUUCAUUAAAGUCGAGUUGGCUUAGGGAUACGUUCGUUGGGUAGGGGAGCGUUCUGUAAGCCUGUGAAGGUGUGUCGUGAGGCAUGCUGGAGGUAUCAGAAGUGCGAAUGCUGACAUAAGUAACGAUAAAGCGGGUGAAAAGCCCGCUCGCCGGAAGACCAAGGGUUCCUGUCCAACGUUAAUCGGGGCAGGGUGAGUCGACCCCUAAGGCGAGGCCGAAAGGCGUAGUCGAUGGGAAACGGGUUAAUAUUCCCGUACUUGGUGUUACUGCGAAGGGGGGACGGAGAAGGCUAUGUUGGCCGGGCGACGGUUGUCCCGGUUUAAGCGUGUAGGUGUGUGUUCCAGGUAAAUCCGGUUCACUUUAACACUGAGGCGUGACGACGAGGCACUACGGUGCUGAAGCAACAAAUGCCCUGCUUCCAGGAAAAGCCUCUAAGCAUCAGGUAACACGAAAUCGUACCCCAAACCGACACAGGUGGUCAGGUAGAGAAUACCAAGGCGCUUGAGAGAACUCGGGUGAAGGAACUAGGCAAAAUGGUGCCGUAACUUCGGGAGAAGGCACGCUGACACGUAGGUGAAGUGAUUUACUCAUGGAGCUGAAGUCAGUCGAAGAUACCAGCUGGCUGCAACUGUUUAUUAAAAACACAGCACUGUGCAAACACGAAAGUGGACGUAUACGGUGUGACGCCUGCCCGGUGCCGGAAGGUUAAUUGAUGGGGUCAGCGCAAGCGAAGCUCCUGAUCGAAGCCCCGGUAAACGGCGGCCGUAACUAUAACGGUCCUAAGGUAGCGAAAUUCCUUGUCGGGUAAGUUCCGACCUGCACGAAUGGCGUAAUGAUGGCCAGGCUGUCUCCACCCGAGACUCAGUGAAAUUGAACUCGCUGUGAAGAUGCAGUGUACCCGCGGCAAGACGGAAAGACCCCGUGAACCUUUACUAUAGCUUGACACUGAACAUUGAGCCUUGAUGUGUAGGAUAGGUGGGAGGCUUUGAAGUGUGGACGCCAGUCUGCAUGGAGCCGACCUUGAAAUACCACCCUUUAAUGUUUGAUGUUCUAACGUGGACCCGUAAUCCGGGUUGCGGACAGUGUCUGGUGGGUAGUUUGACUGGGGCGGUCUCCUCCUAAAGAGUAACGGAGGAGCACGAAGGUUGGCUAAUCCUGGUCGGACAUCAGGAGGUUAGUGCAAUGGCAUAAGCCAGCUUGACUGCGAGCGUGACGGCGCGAGCAGGUGCGAAAGCAGGUCAUAGUGAUCCGGUGGUUCUGAAUGGAAGGGCCAUCGCUCAACGGAUAAAAGGUACUCCGGGGAUAACAGGCUGAUACCGCCCAAGAGUUCAUAUCGACGGCGGUGUUUGGCACCUCGAUGUCGGCUCAUCACAUCCUGGGGCUGAAGUAGGUCCCAAGGGUAUGGCUGUUCGCCAUUUAAAGUGGUACGCGAGCUGGGUUUAGAACGUCGUGAGACAGUUCGGUCCCUAUCUGCCGUGGGCGCUGGAGAACUGAGGGGGGCUGCUCCUAGUACGAGAGGACCGGAGUGGACGCAUCACUGGUGUUCGGGUUGUCAUGCCAAUGGCACUGCCCGGUAGCUAAAUGCGGAAGAGAUAAGUGCUGAAAGCAUCUAAGCACGAAACUUGCCCCGA
rnacentral:rRNA from 1 species